rnacentral:rRNA from 1 species
ACCUGCCCCUCACUCUGGGAUAAGCCUGGGAAACUGGGUCUAAUACUGGAUACGACCGAUCUCCGCAUGGAGUGUUGGUGGAAAGUUUUUGUGGUGGGGGAUGGACUCGCGGCCUAUCAGCUUGUUGGUGGGGUAAUGGCCUACCAAGGCGACGACGGGUAGCCGGCCUGAGAGGGCGACCGGCCACACUGGGACUGAGACACGGCCCAGACUCCUACGGGAGGCAGCAGUGGGGAAUAUUGCACAAUGGGCGAAAGCCUGAUGCAGCGACGCCGCGUGAGGGAUGACGGCCUUCGGGUUGUAAACCUCUUUCACCAGGGACGAAGCUAACGUGACGGUACCUGGAGAAGAAGCACCGGCUAACUACGUGCCAGCAGCCGCGGUAAUACGUAGGGUGCGAGCGUUGUCCGGAAUUAUUGGGCGUAAAGAGCUUGUAGGCGGUUUGUCGCGUCUGCUGUGAAAGACCGGGGCUUAACUCCGGUUCUGCAGUGGGUACGGGCAGACUAGAGUGUGGUAGGGGAGACUGGAAUUCCUGGUGUAGCGGUGAAAUGCGCAGAUAUCAGGAGGAACACCGAUGGCGAAGGCAGGUCUCUGGGCCAUUACUGACGCUGAGAAGCGAAAGCAUGGGGAGCGAACAGGAUUAGAUACCCUGGUAGUCCAUGCCGUAAACGUUGGGCGCUAGGUGUGGGACUCAUUCCACGAGUUCCGUGCCGCAGCUAACGCAUUAAGCGCCCCGCCUGGGGAGUACGGCCGCAAGGCUAAAACUCAAAGGAAUUGACGGGGGCCCGCACAAGCGGCGGAGCAUGCGGAUUAAUUCGAUGCAACGCGAAGAACCUUACCAAGGCUUGACAUACACCGGAAUCAUGCAGAGAUGUGUGCGUCUUCGGACUGGUGUACAGGUGGUGCAUGGUUGUCGUCAGCUCGUGUCGUGAGAUGUUGGGUUAAGUCCCGCAACGAGCGCAACCCUCGUUCCAUGUUGCCAGCACUUCGGGUGGGGACUCAUGGGAGACUGCCGGGGUCAACUCGGAGGAAGGUGGGGAUGACGUCAAAUCAUCAUGCCCCUUAUGUCUUGGGCUUCACGCAUGCUACAAUGGCCGGUACAGAGGGUUGCGAAACCGUGAGGUGGAGCUAAUCCCAAAAAACCGGUCUCAGUUCGGAUUGGGGUCUGCAACUCGACCCC